ACUCAGGGGGAACCCAGUCAUGCCCAUGUGGGUCACCUCCACUAGAAUACCUGAUUGCAUGCUAUGGAUGAGUAAAGAAGGAUAAUGCCAGAGAAUGCAAGCUUCUGUUAUCAAGAGCACGUAAAAAGGAAGAGAGAGAAUUGAGUUUGCUUUUUUUAUGAAAUCAGCAAGAGCGAUACCAGGUUUAGUGUUAUCUAUAGUUAUUAGAUUUCUUAUAGGAAUGUAUUUUUUUCCUUCAUUGAAUAUUUGUAUUUUGGAUUGUU